UAGGGAAUCUUCCGCAAUGGACGCAAGUCUGACGGAGCAACGCCGCGUGAGUGAAGAAGGAUUCGGUUUGUUAAACUCCGUUUUUUGGGGAAAAACACGCCUAGAGGAAAUUGUAAGCCUUUGAACGUAACCUACCAGAAAACCCACGGCAACCACCUUCCCUCCAGCGGCGGUAACACGAGGUUGUAAGCCUUUUUCCGCUUUUAUUGGGCGUAAAGCGAGCGAAGGCGGUCAUUUAAGUCUGAUGUGAAAGCCACCGGCUCAACCGGGGAGGGUCAUUGGAAACUGGUUGACUUGAGUGCAGAAGGGGAGGGUGGAAUUCCAUGUGUAGCGGUGAAAUGCGUAGAUAUAUGGAGGAACACCAGUGGCGAAGGCGACUCUCUGGUCAGUAACUGACGCUGAGGCUCGAAAGCGUGGGUAGCAAACAGG
rnacentral:rRNA from 1 species